rnacentral:rRNA from 1 species
UACGGGGGGGGCAAGCGUUGUUCGGAAUUACUGGGCGUAAAGGGCUUGUAGGCGGCCAACUAAGUCGGAUGUGAAAUCCCCAGGCUUAACCUGGGAACUGCAUCCGAUACUGGAUGGCUUGAAUCCGGGAGAGGGAUGCAGAAUUCCAGGUGUAGCGGUGAAAUGCGUAGAUAUCUGGAGGAAUACCGGUGGCGAAGGCGGCAUCCUGGACCGGCAUUGACGCUGAGUGAGCGAAAGCCAGGGGAGCAAACGGG